GAGUGUCAGUGUAAGAAUGGGGGUAUUUGUGACCAGAGGACAGGAGCUUGUACAUGUCGUGACAGAUAUGAAGGUGUGCAUUGUGAAAUCCUUCAAGGUUGUCCUCUUCUUCAAUCGGAUCCCCAAGUUCAGGAAG